GCAAAAUUUUUUAAUUUUAUAGUGCCCAAGUGUGUGCGCAGUGGCGGUAUACUCUCUAUUCCUUUUACUCUCCUAGCCCAGUGGG